AUGCACUGGUGUCUCUUCAGUUCUAUUAAAUCUUUUUCCUUUGUCUGAAAGCUUUCCGUGGAGAGGUACAACCAUGUUUUUUUUUUAAAGCUUUUUCAAGACUCUGAUCCAUGCAGGGCU